rnacentral:misc_RNA from 1 species
GAUGAAGAACGUAGCGAAAUGCGAUAAGUAAUGCGAAUUGCAGAAUUCAGUGAAUCAUCGAAUCUUUGAACGCACAUUGCGCCCCCUGGUAUUCCGGGGGGCAUGCCUGUCCGAGCGUCAUUACAACCCUCAAGCUCAGCUUGGUAUUGGGCCCCGCCGCUCCGGCGGGCCCUAAAGUCAGUGGCGGUGCCGUCCGGCUCCGAGCGUAGUAAUUCUUCUCGCUCUGGAGGUCCGGUCGUGUGCUCGCCAGCAACCCCCAAUUUUUUUCAGGUUGACCUCGGAUCAGGUAGGGAUACCCGCUGAACUUAAGCAUAUCAAUAAGCGGAGGA